rnacentral:rRNA from 1 species
AUUACGGGUACGGGGAUUAGGGUUCGAUUCCGGAGAGGGAGCCUGAGAAACGGCUACCACAUCCAAGGAAGGCGGCAGGCGCGCAAAUUACCCAAUCCCGACACGGGGAGGUAGUGACAAUAAAUAACAAUACAGGGCCCUCACGGGUCUUGUAAUUGGAAUGAGUACAAUUUAAAUCUCUUAACGAGGAACAAUUGGAGGGCAAGUCUGGUGCCAGCAGCCGCGGUAAUUCCAGCUCCAAUAGCGUAUAUUAAAGUUGUUGCAGUUAAAAAGCUCGUAGUUGAAUUUUGGGUUUGGCCGGACGGUCCACCUUCCGGUGAGCACUGUUCCGACGCCGGGCCUAUCCUUCUGGUGAGACGGCAUGCCCUUCGCUGGGUGUGUCGGGGAACCAGGACCACUACCUUGAAAAAAUUAGAGUGUUCAAAGCAGGCGUUUGCUCGAAUACAUUAGCAUGGAAUAAUGAAAUAGGACGCGUGGUACUAUUUUGUUGGUUUCUAGGACCGCCGUAAUGAUUAAUAGGGAUAGUUGGGGGCAUUAGUAUUCAAUUGUCAGAGGUGAAAUUCUUGGAUUUAUUGAAGACUAACUUCUGCGAAAGCAUUUGCCAAGGAUGCUUUCAUUAAUCAAGAACGAAAGUUAGGGGAUCGAAGACGAUCAGAUACCGUCGUAGUCUUAACCAUAAACUAUGCCGACUAGGAAUCGGGCGAAGUUAUUCUAACGACUCGCCCGGCGCCUUAUGGGAAACCAAAGUGUUUUGGGUUUC